rnacentral:rRNA from 1 species
GACAGAGGGUGCAAACGUUGCUCGGAAUCACUGGGCGUAAAGGGCGUGUAGGCGGGACGGUAAGUCGGGCGUGAAAUCCCUAGGCUCAACCUAGGAACUGCACUCGAAACUACCAUUCUUGAGUGUCGGAGAGGAAAGCGGAAUUCCUGGUGUAGAGGUGAAAUUCGUAGAUAUCAGGAGGAACACCAGUGGCGAAGGCGGCUUCUGGACGAUAACUGACGCUGGAGACGCGAAAGCGUGGGGAGCAAACAGG